rnacentral:rRNA from 1 species
GACGAAGGGGGCUAGCGUUGUUCGGAAUUACUGGGCGUAAAGCGCGUGUAGGCGGCUGCGUAAGUCGGGCGUGAAAUCCCAUGGCUCAACCAUGGAAGUGCACCCGAAACUGCGUAGCUAGAGUCCUGGAGAGGAAGGUGGAAUACUUGGUGUAGAGGUGAAAUUCGUAGAUAUCAAGUGGAACACCGGUGGCGAAGGCGGCCUUCUGGACAGUGACUGACGCUGAGACGCGAAAGCGUGGGGAGCAAACAGG